rnacentral:lncRNA from 1 species
AGCUAGUUGAAGAGAACAAUGACUCAGUGUUCCAGUGUGACUGAGGGACAGUGCGCUGAAGCUUUACUCUCUCUACUCGAGUUGUAUAGAGAGCGCGUGCUUUGAAGUACAGCUGGCUGCAAUACUCAGCCAAUCUGAGCGCGCGACGAGCCGCGUCCGACCAAUGAGCGACGCGACCAUGACAGAAAUACUAAAGCUGCACGUCAAUCAAUGGCUGGGAUACUGAUCCCACUGUCAAGCAAUAAGCCAUCGUCUAUUUUUCAUCGUUUUUUAUAUAUAUAUGGCCAUCAAGGCGCAGAAUCCGCACAGACUAUAGCGCUCAGCUCAUAUUGGUAUUUAAUGGGCAUCCUCCGAGGGUAAGCUUCUCAUCUUGAGUUUAUGCAUGAUAUCAAUAUCUGUUUCGUGUGUAGUAAAGGUUCACACGCGUACCCAUUUGCAGCUUUGGACGGUUUUUAUUUUAGUGAUGCGUUUAUUUUGUAGGUAGUUAUAUUGUGAUUUGAUGUAGGGGUUAAAACCAUAACGAUAUUUCUGUUUAGACUCGAUAGCGUUAUUAUAAGGUGACAUUACGCAGGCAUGUUUAGAGUAGAUACAAAGUCUUAAUAUAUCAUGCAAUGUCAGUGUCAGUGUCUUUUCUAGUCAUUUAUUUAUUAAUUAUCUUGUUUUUAAAAUUUAAGAAUGUUUUGAACUUAUUGAAAAUUCCAAAUAUUAAAUAUAUGUCGAACUUUCAAAUCAGAGCCAGUCACUGAAACGCAGUCUUGGAUGAAGAGGACAGAGGGGCACCACUGAUCCCACAACAGGAAGUCAGCUCGACACAACAGCGUGCCGCAUCUCAAGGCUUCCUCUUCCGCAUCACUGAGCCAGAUAAAAACACUGAAUCCAGGCACCACCAACGCUGCCAUUUGCCCUCCUUUCAAAAAAUACACACACACACACACACACCUGCCAGGUAUGGGGUUUGUCCGUCUCACACUGUGCAUCUGUCUGUCUGUAUUUGUUCAAAGAUUUCGUUCUGCACCAGACACAGUCAAUUAAGGUGCAAGAAUGAAAGGAAAAGAUUAAGAAAUAAAUAUAUCAGGCCAUUUACUUUUUGGAGUUCUAUUAAUGCUAUAAAAAUGAUUAAUCAAACAAUUAUAUUCUGUCAUUGCUAACUUGAUUUUUUUUUUUUUUUUGGACCAGCACCCACUGGGCCACUUUCCUAUAGAUGUUUAUUUGAUUAUAUUUACAGUGGCUCCAAAAUGCAUUUAGACAAUCCAUAUCAUUAACUACAAACAUGUUUCACUAACAUGUAUGUAUUUAUUUAUUUAUUUGCUUGAUAUGUUUGCUUUUAAGUAAGGAAUUUAUUUAAAAUAAAUGCUGCUUGGUUUUAUAUUUUGUAUUUAAUUUACUGGCUCUCAAACAUUUUAACUGAGCAGUACUACUUUUAUUUAUUUUAUUUUAUCUGAUCUUAUUUAAUUGAAUUUAGGGUUGUCAA